CGAACGCUGGCGGCGUGCUUCAUACAUGCAAGUCGAGCGAGAAAGCCCCUUCGGGGGUGAGUACAGCGGCGAACGGGUGAGUAACACGUGGGUAACCUGCCCCGGAGACUGGGACAACACCCCGAAAGGGGUGCUAAUACCGGAUGACGUGCCACCUGCCAAGUGGGUGUCACCAAAUGGUAGCUUCGGCCUCCGCUCCGGGAGGGGCCCGCGCCGCAUUAGCUUGUUGGUGAGGUAACGGCUCACCAAGGCGACGAUGCGUAGCUGGUCUGAGAGGACGGUCAGCCACACUGGGACUGAGACACGGCCCAGACUCCUACGGGAGGCAGCAGUAGGGAAUCUUGCGCAAUGGGCGAAAGCCUGACGCAGCAACGCCGCGUGAGCGAAGACGGCCUUCGGGUUGUAAAGCUCUGUCAGGAGGGACGAAGCCACUCGGGUGAACAGCCUAGAGGGUGACGGUACCUCCAGAGGAAGCCCCGGCUAACUAC
rnacentral:rRNA from 1 species